UAUUGUAUUUCAGUUUUAAUUAAUGAAUUAAGUUUAAACUAAAACGAAUCUGGGUUGAAGCAACCCUAGUUCAGAGCAGCUGUUCCAUUGCAACCGCCUCUCCUUUCUUCCCAUCAAUCUCGUCGGAGUGCCGUCUAACAAGUUUCAACACCGGUGAUCUAAGAAAAAAUAUAUAUAUAUGGUUAUACAAAAUAAAUAUAAAAGAUAAUGUGAAGGAAAGGCAAUAGAAGAAGAAAAAAUCUCUAUAAACCGGAGAAGCAGAGAUCUGGAAGCAAGAAAUUUCCGACACUCUAGGGAUGUUCACGGUAGAACCAGACGGAAAAGUUGGGUAGCAACCAAGAGAUUUGAGAUAAGGACUUGAGAGAAAUGAAUGUUCGCCGAUGAACGGAGGAAGAGCUGACGAGAAGAUCGAUGAAGUGAAAUCGACGAACCCUAGAUCCAGGAAGAACGUGGGAAUGAGAACAGAACAAAUAGAACCCAAAAGAUUUAACCGAAAAUACCUGUAAACUGGAAUGAUUUCCCUGUUGUGAUAAUGCCUCUUUAUAUAGGAAUUCCAAACUCAUAACUGGGUCGGAUCUUUUGACCCGACUACCUGGUUAGGAAUCCCUUCUUUAAGAGUGGCGAGUUGAUCAGUGCGUUUCUAUGGAAAGGAUCCACAAACUCCAAGAAAGAGUAGUCUACGAUAAUAAUAAAAAAGAUAAAAAAGACGAUAAGAGUUAGAAACAAGAUCGAAAGCACGAGGACAUGAAAAAAACUGUAGAGUAGAGGACGUCAUUCCCACCAGGCUCCAUUUUGUCUGUCUGACGUCCGGAAGUUUGGGGGUCCAAGAACCUCUUUGUAAAUGGAAAGGUUAGAACGGCUAUUUAAUGAGAAGAUGAAGAGCCGAACCUGACACAGCGUGCAUCGGCAUUAAUAGAGGUCGUGACAAGACGUGACACUGCGAUUGAAGAAGCAAAAAACACCGGUUAGAUAAAUUAAAUUUAGAAGCAAAAAACAUCGGUUAGAUAAAUUAAAUUUAAAAAUCAUCAUUAAACGUCUCCCUCAAAAAACAGGAACGCGUCGGAAGAAAGGAAAAGAGCCACCUUAACGGAAGCUCCGUUCUUGGGAAACGAAAAAAUCGGAAAAGACAUACGAAAAAGGGAAAAAUCGCAAUAUUUUUCACCUAAUGUAACUGCUGACGAUAAAUGCGAUAUAGUCGUAUCUCUUGAAAAACGAGCCGCCGACGACGAUACCUUCGAGGAGGUUUUACGCAUGAUACUACCCGAACGAAGAAGGGACUUAACCCAAGAGAAGGACAAGUUCUACGAAUCUGAUCGAGCGACUUCCCCUCUUUAAAAAGACCUAAAAUUAAAAAGAACUCACUAACUUGCAGAACAAAGUACAAUGAGUUACAGGAAUUACAAGAUACGAAGAAAUUAAGAAAUAAAAUAACAGCAGACGUCCCACUAUUCGUUGUUCUACAAGUCAUCUAAAGAUUCUUGCGAUUGGUACGACCAACGCGGCAACGUAGGGUGCAUGGUACUCAUACACCCCAUGGCAGACACAAUAUCCAGAUGCGUAACUUCUGCCUUUUGGAGCAACGCGAGCGGCGAGCCUCCGCUUCACGUCGAAGAGCAAAUGGUUCAGACACUCCAACAAUGUAAUCAGAUGGUUGUUGGUCCCCUCGUCUACCGAAGUCACCAAGACGCCACCAAUCACGCCCUAAAGGUACACCAAUUCAAGCCCGUACGGCGUACUCCUCCAGCAGUGAUCGAGUCAUGUUUCUCAAAAGCUGUGGCGCGUUGUCUCCACCAGUACACACAGAUGAUGGUAUGUCGUACCAACAAGUUGAUUGUCGACGGACGGCGAAGUAGACGAUCGUCGCCGGCGAGAGGCAAGAGGAAAGAGGGGGGGAAGUUAGGAAUUUCAGAACUAAUGAUCACUAACAACUGUAACUAGGUGUUAG
rnacentral:lncRNA from 1 species